rnacentral:pre_miRNA from 1 species
GAGUGUGGAUGGUGUUCAGCGCCAGGGACAGGUUUGUUUACCUGUGUGAGUAUGGUAUUCAGUACCAAGGACAGGUGUGUUUAUCU